rnacentral:rRNA from 1 species
GAUGAACGCUGGCGGCGUGCCUAAUACAUGCAAGUCGAGCGAACAGACGAGGAGCUUGCUCCUCUGACGUUAGCGGCGGACGGGUGAGUAACACGUGGAUAACCUACCUAUAAGACUGGGAUAACUUCGGGAAACCGUAGCUAAUACCGGAUAAUAUAUUGAACCGCAUGGUUCAAAAGUGAAAGACGGUUUUGCUGUCACUUAUAGAUGGAUCCGCGCCGCAUUAGCUAGUUGGUAAGGUAACGGCUUACCAAGGCGACGAUGCGUAGCCGACCUGAGAGGGUGAUCGGCCACACUGGAACUGAGACACGGUCCAGACUCCUACGGGAGGCAGCAGUAGGGAAUCUUCCGCAAUGGGCGAAAGCCUGACGGAGCAACGCCGCGUGAGUGAUGAAGGUCUUCGGAUCGUAAAACUCUGUUAUUAGGGAAGAACAAAUGUGUAAGUAACUAUGCACGUCUUGACGGUACCUAAUCAGAAAGCCACGGCUAACUACGUG